rnacentral:rRNA from 1 species
UACGAAGGGGGCUAGCGUUGUUCGGAUUUACUGGGCGUAAAGCGCACGUAGGCGGAUUGUUAAGUCAGGGGUGAAAUCCCGGAGCUCAACUCCGGAACUGCCUUUGAUACUGGCAAUCUAGAGUCCGGAAGAGGUGAGUGGAACUCCUAGUGUAGAGGUGGAAUUCGUAGAUAUUAGGAAGAACACCAGUGGCGAAGGCGGCUCACUGGUCCGGUACUGACGCUGAGGUGCGAAAGCGUGGGGAGCA